UCCAGCUUCCAAAUCUCCUGUGAGGAUGAGGAUCUCUGAGCUCACACCUCCUCACCCAGUUCACCCUCUGCCUGCUGGAUGCACACUGCAGAACUGGAACUAACAGAGAAGCCGUCCCUGUACAGGAUACUGAGAAGACUGGCAGGACUUUUUGGUCAUUGAAAUGUAACUAUGACAUCUAUCCAAAAGUGCCACUGGAAGAAUGAGGAGUGGAAUAGAACAAAAGCCACUACAUUUAUGAACAAGCAGAUGGUACCUGGGAGCCUGACUUAGCCAUACUGGAGGUGAAGUGAAGCCUGAUCUGUGGAAAGCUGGGAGUGGCAGUGCAGCACCUG
rnacentral:lncRNA from 1 species